ensembl:lncRNA
AUGUUAGUAGUUAAUACAAAAGGAGUGCCAAUGGUACUAGUUUUUUCAAAAGUUGUUCUCAGGGUAUUAGUUUCUGCAGAAGUGGUGGCCAGAGUAGUAGAUUCAACAGAUGUAGUGCCAAGAGUAGUAGUUUCUCCAGAAGUGGAUGCUACAGACGUGGUUUCCAGGGUAGUAGUUUCUACAGAAGUGGUGCCAAUGGUAGCAGUUUCUGCAGAUGUUUUCCCCUGGGUAGUAGUCUCUAUAGAAUUGGUGACAAGGGUAGCAGUUUCUACAGAAGUGGUUCCAAGGCUAGCAGUUUCUAAAGAAGUGGGUCCUGCAGAUAUGGUUUCAAGGGUAGUAGUUUCUACAGAAGUGGUUCCAAGGGGACUGGUUUCUAAAGAAGUGGGUCCUGCAGACGUGGUUUCCAGGGUAGUAGUUUCUACAGAAGUGGUGCCAAUGGUAGCAGUUUCUGCAGAUGUUUUCCCCUGGGUAAUAAUCUCUAUAGAAUUGGUGACAAGGGUAGUGGUUUCUGUAGAAGUGGCUCCAAGGGUACUAGUUUCUAAAGAAGUGGGUCCUGCAGAUGUGGUUUCAAGGGUAGUAGUUUCUACAGAAGUGGUUCCAAGGGUACUGGUUUCUAAAGAAGUGGGUCCUGCAGAUGUGGUUUCAAGGGUAGUAGUUUCUACAGAAGUGCUUCCAAGGGUACUAGUUUCUAAAGAAGUGGGUUCUGCAGAAGUGGUUUCCAGGGUAGUAGUUGCUACAAAAGUUGUGCCAAGGGUACUGGUUUCUGCAGACGUUAUGCCCAGGGUAGUAGUUUCUGCAGAAGUGCUUCCAAGAGUACUGAUUUCUAUAGUAGUAGUACCAAGGAUAGUAGUUUCUGCCAAAGUGGGUCCUGUGGACAUGGUUUCAAGGGUAGUAGUUGCUACAGAAGUGGUUCCAAGGGUACUGGUUUCUAAAGAAGUGGGUCCUGCAGAUGUGGUUUCAAGGGUAGUAGUUUCUACAGAAGUGGUUCCAAGGGUACUGGUUUCUAAAGAAGUGGGUCCUGCAGAUGUGGUUUCAAGGGUAGUAGUUUCUACAGAAGUGCCUCCAAGGGUACUAGUUUCUAAAGAAGUGGGUUCUGCAGAAGUGGUUUCCAGGGUAGUAGUUGCUACAAAAGUUGUGCCAAGGGUACUGGUUUCUGCAGACGUUAUGCCCAGGGUAGUAGUUUCUGCAGAAGUGCUUCCAAGAGUACUGAUUUCUAUAGUAGUAGUACCAAGGAUAGUAGUUUCUGCCAAAGUGGGUCCUGUGGACAUGGUUUCAAGGGUAGUAGUUGCUACAGAAGUGGUUCCAAGGGUACUGGUUUCUAAAGAAGUGGGUCCUGCAGAUGUGGUUUCAAGGGUAGUAGUUUCUACAGAAGUGGUUCCAAGGGUACUGGUUUCUAAAGAAGUGGGUCCUGCAGACGUGGUUUCCAGGGUAGUAGUUUCUACAGAAGUGGUGCCAAUGGUAGCAGUUUCUGCAGAUGUUUUCCCCUGGGUAGUAGUCUCUAUAGAAUUGGUGACAAGGGUAGUGGUUUCUGUAGAAGUGGUUCCAAGGGUACUAGUUUCUACAGAAGUUGUGGCAAGGGUACUGGUUUCUGCAGACGUUAUGCCCAGGGUAGUAGUUUCUGCAGAAGUGCUUCCAAGAGUACUGAUUUCUAUAGUAGUAGUACCAAGGAUAGUAGUUUCUGCCAAAGUGGGUCCUGUGGACAUGGUUUCAAGGGUAGUAGUUGCUACAGAAGUGGUUCCAAGGGUACUGGUUUCUAAAGAAGUGGGUCCUGCAGAUGUGGUUUCAAGGGUAGUAGUUUCUACAGAAGUGGUUCCAAGGGUACUGGUUUCUAAAGAAGUGGGUCCUGCAGACGUGGUUUCCAGGGUAGUAGUUUCUACAGAAGUGGUGCCAAUGGUAGCAGUUUCUGCAGAUGUUUUCCCCUGGGUAGUAGUCUCUAUAGAAUUGGUGACAAGGGUAGUGGUUUCUGUAGAAGUGGUUCCAAGGGUACUAGUUUCUAAAGAAGUGGGUCCUGCAGAUGUGGUUUCAAGGGUAGUAGUUUCUACAGAAGUUGUGCCAAGGGUACUGGUUUCUGCAGAAGUUAUGCCCAGGGUACUAGUUUCUACAGAAGUGGUGCCAAAGGUACUCGUUUUUGCAGAAGAUGUGCCCAGAGUGGUAGAUCCAACAGAAGUUGAACCAAAGGUACUAUAUUCUGCAGCAGUGGUUCCAAGUAUAGUACUUUCUAUAGAAGAGGUCCCCAGUGCGGUAGAUUGA